rnacentral:lncRNA from 1 species
CUGGCUUUCCUCCUUUUUCCACUUGCAGAAUGCAUCUGUGCAAGACAGAAUGGUACCAGAAAGUGCAGGGAACAUAUGUUUUCCCUGGAAGGACUCCUGAUGUGGCAAACUGACAGUAUCGUUGUGGUGGGAUUGUGCUGGCCUUUGUCCUACACAACUGAAGAGAUUCUUCCUGGGACUGCAGGAACAAAUUGACUGAAACGAUUGCCAGGAGAACAGCCAUGAAACUGUGACUCUAGUGAAAGCAAUGCCUCUGGAAAUCAGGACCAAUUUUCUCCACAGAGAGGGGAAGAUGUGUUUGCUACAGGCUGGGAAGGCAGCUGAACCCCUCCAAGAGGCAGGAGUCAGUGCAGAGGAUGGAGACUGGCACUUAACACCAUGCCACAUGAGUCAAAACAGGAGCUUGCUUGGCUGCUAA